rnacentral:rRNA from 1 species
AGAGUUUGAUCCUGGCUCAGGACGAACGCUGGCGGCGUGCCUAAUACAUGCAAGUAGAACGCUGAAGAGAGGAGCUUGCUCUUCUUGGAUGAGUUGCGAACGGGUGAGUAACGCGUAGGUAACCUGCCUUGUAGCGGGGGAUAACUAUUGGAAACGAUAGCUAAUACCGCAUAACAAUGGAUGACACAUGUCAUUUAUUUGAAAGGGGCAAUUGUUCCACUACAAGAUGGACCUGCGUUGUAUUAGCUAGUAGGUGAGGUAAUGGCUCACCUAGGCGACGAUACAUAGCCGACCUGAGAGGGUGAUCGGCCACACUGGGACUGAGACACGGCCCAGACUCCUACGGGAGGCAGCAGUAGGGAAUCUUCGGCAAUGGGGGCAACCCUGACCGAGCAACGCCGCGUGAGUGAAGAAGGUUUUCGGAUCGUAAAGCUCUGUUGUAAGUCAAGAACGGGCGUGAGAGUGGAAAGUUCACACUGUGACGGUAGCUUACCAGAAAGGGACGGCUAACUACGUGCCAGCAGCCGCGGUAAUACGUAGGUCCCGAGCGUUGUCCGGAUUUAUUGGGCGUAAAGCGAGCGCAGGCGGUUUGAUAAGUCUGAAGUUAAAGGCUGUGGCUCAACCAUAGUUCGCUUUGGAAACUGUCAAACUUGAGUGCAGAAGGGGAGAGUGGAAUUCCAUGUGUAGCGGUGAAAUGCGUAGAUAUAUGGAGGAACACCGGUGGCGAAAGCGGCUCUCUGGUCUGUAACUGACGCUGAGGCUCGAAAGCGUGGGGAGCGAACAGGAUUAGAUACCCUGGUAGUCCACGCCGUAAACGAUGAGUGCUAGGUGUUGGAUCCUUUCCGGGAUUCAGUGCCGCAGCUAACGCAUUAAGCACUCCGCCUGGGGAGUACGACCGCAAGGUUGAAACUCAAAGGAAUUGACGGGGGCCCGCACAAGCGGUGGAGCAUGUGGUUUAAUUCGAAGCAACGCGAAGAACCUUACCAGGUCUUGACAUCCCGAUGCUAUUUCUAGAGAUAGAAAGUUACUUCGGUACAUCGGUGACAGGUGGUGCAUGGUUGUCGUCAGCUCGUGUCGUGAGAUGUUGGGUUAAGUCCCGCAACGAGCGCAACCCCUAUUGUUAGUUGCCAUCAUUCGGUUGGGCACUCUAGCGAGACUGCCGGUAAUAAACCGGAGGAAGGUGGGGAUGACGUCAAAUCAUCAUGCCCCUUAUGACCUGGGCUACACACGUGCUACAAUGGUUGGUACAACGAGUUGCGAGUCGGUGACGGCGAGCUAAUCUCUUAAAGCCAAUCUCAGUUCGGAUUGUAGGCUGCAACUCGCCUACAUGAAGUCGGAAUCGCUAGUAAUCGCGGAUCAGCACGCCGCGGUGAAUACGUUCCCGGGCCUUGUACACACCGCCCGUCACACCACGAGAGUUUGUAACACCCGAAGUCGGUGAGGUAACCUUUUGGAGCCAGCCGCCUAAGGUGGGACAGAUGAUUGGGGUGAAGUCGUAACAAGGUA